rnacentral:lncRNA from 1 species
AAAAUAUUUGAUUUUGACUUCUUCGUUUAACUGAACAUGAAUGUUCUCUUACUUGUUUACCUACUGAGUGAACGACUGAGUUUUAUUUGAAUGCUGGUUUUUUUGUGGUUGUGAAUAUCACUAGGAUCAAGGGCCUGUUUACUUGGAAAUCUCUACCAGAUUUAGUUUCACUUUGUGAUUACAAUUGUUAUUAUGUUAUUUAACAUCAAAUUCAUCUGUUAGCUAAUAAUCAACAAUCGUCGUAUGGAAGCUGAUGUAGUCCUAAUCAUUCUUCAAUAGUCACUAAUCUAAAUAAUGUCAGAUACUUAAACAAUCCAAACCAGACAGAUGAUAAGUACACCGUGAUAAAUUGGAUUUAAAGGACAAUUCAUUUUCAAGGUAUUGUAUCAGAUUAUUUUCAAGGGUUUGGAAUUGAGGUCAUAUUUAUUGUCUGGGGCAAAGUGCAACACUUGCUCCAUCAUUACAUAUAUGACCAUUUUUUGUUAAUUGUACUCUCUAUAUGUUACACAAGUUGUUGGCAAGAGACUUGUAUCUUAUUAU